GGCUGGGGCUGUUCUCUCCUCCCAGGGCCGGAGGCCGCUCCCUCUGCGCCUCUUGCCUUCGCCUCUGGGGGGACAUACCCAGCCAGGAAGGAAGGGGCUCCGCGCAGCAGCGGGCCUGUGGGGGUAAACUGAGGCACGCGGCAGGGCGCCCCACAACCAGGUGUCGAGCGCGGGGCCCCACCUCCGAAGGCGGAGGAGGGGCCGCGGGCGGUGACGCGCCGAGGGCGGCCGGCGGGCAGCGAGCGGGCGGGCGGGCGGCAGGAGCG
rnacentral:lncRNA from 1 species